GACGUGUACAUGUCAUGGUAUACAUGAUAGAUCCCACUGCACUAGCGUAUGGGAUCCUACUCAUGCGUUCUCUCUCUUCAGGUGUUUUAGGACAAUCCUCCCUAAUACAUGUCGUGGUAUACAUGAUAGCUCCCACUGCACUAGCGUAUUGGAUCCUACUCAUGCGUUCUCUCUUCAGGUGUUUUAGGACAAUCCUCCCUACUGAGAGAAAUUCCAGUGCCUAUCGGUAGAUAGCCUCUUUUGGAAUUAUCCAUGUUAUACAUCUUUAAGAUAGUAUCAAUGUACAAAGACUGGGAAAGUCCAAGCAGCUUCCUAGAUCUAUCUCUAUAGA
rnacentral:lncRNA from 1 species